rnacentral:rRNA from 1 species
AACGAACGCUGGCGGCAGGCUUAACACAUGCAAGUCGAACGGUCUCUUCGGAGGCAGUGGCAGACGGGUGAGUAACGCGUGGGAAUCUACCUAGUUCUACGGAACAACAGAGGGAAACUUCUGCUAAUACCGUAUACGCCCUACGGGGGAAAGAUUUAUCGGAAUUAGAUGAGCCCGCGUAAGAUUAGCUAGUUGGUGGG